rnacentral:rRNA from 1 species
UACGUAGGGGGCAAGCGUUGUCCGGAUUUAUUGGGCGUAAAGAGCGUGUAGGCGGCUUUACAGGUCCGUUGUGAAAACUCGAGGCUCAACCUCGAGACGCCGGUGGAAACCGUAAAGCUAGAGUCCGGAAGAGGAGAGUGGAAUUCCUGGUGUAGCAGGUGAAAUGCGCAGAUAUCAGGAGGAACACCAGCGGCGAAGGCGGCGCUCUGGGCCGGUACUGACACUGAGGAGCGAAAGCGUGGGUAGCAAACAGG